GUAUGUUUGUGUGCGAAUGGUGUUCAUCACCAAGGAUAGGUGUGUAUGUUUGUGUGCGAAUGGUGUUCAUCACCAAGGAUAGGUGUGUAUAUUU
rnacentral:pre_miRNA from 1 species